CGUACACUCCUACGGGAGGCAGCAGUGGGGAAUAUUGGACAAUGGGCGCAAGCCUGAUCCAGCCAUGCCGCGUGAGUGAUGAAGGCCCUAGGGUUGUAAAGCUCUUUCACCGGUGAAGAUAAUGACGGUAACCGGAGAAGAAGCCCCGGCUAACUUCGUGCCAGCAGCCGCGGUAAUACGAAGGGGGCUAGCGUUGUUCGGAUUUACUGGGCGUAAAGCGCACGUAGGCGGACUAUUAAGUCAGGGGUGAAAUCCCGGGGCUCAACCCCGGAGCUGCCUUUGAUACUGGUAGUCUUGAGUUCGAGAGAGGUGAGUGGAAUUCCGAGUGUAGAGGUGAAAUUCGUAGAUAUUCGGAGGAACACCAGUGGCGAAGGCGGCUCACUGGCUCGAUACUGACGCUGAGGUGCGAAAGCGUGGGGAGCAAACAGGAUUAGAUACCCCUGUAGUCC
rnacentral:rRNA from 1 species